rnacentral:rRNA from 1 species
CACGUAGGCGGACUCUUAAGUCGGUGGUGAAAUCCUGGAGCUCAACUCCAGAACUGCCUUCGAUACUGAGAGUCUCGAGUCCGGGAGAGGUGAGUGGAACUGCGAGUGUAGAGGUGAAAUUCGUAGAUAUUCGCAAGAACACCAGUGGCGAAGGCGGCUCACUGGCCCGGUACUGACGCUGAGGUGCGAAAGCGUGGGAGCAAACA